UGCUAUGGCUCAGUAGGUAGAGCACAUCCUUGGUAAGGAUGAGGUCACCGGUUCGAAUCCGGUUAGC
rnacentral:tRNA from 1 species